GUCGAACGGAGAUAUGUUCAUGAAGUUUUCGGACGGAAUGGAUAUAUCUUAGUGGCGGACGGGCGAGUAACGCGUGAGCAACCUGCCCUUCAGAGGGGGAUAACGGCUGGAAACGGCCGCUAAUACCGCAUAACAUAUACCUGGGGCAUCCCGGGUAUAUCAAAGGAGCAAUCCGCUGAAGGAUGGGCUCGCGUCCGAUUAGCUAGUUGGUGAGGUAACGGCUCACCAAGGCGACGAUCGGUAGCCGAACUGAGAGGUUGAUCGGCCGCAUUGGGACUGAGACACGGCCCAGACUCCUACGGGAGGCAGCAGUGGGGGAUAUUGCACAAUGGAGGAAACUCUGAUGCAGCGACGCCGCGUGAGGGAAGAAGGCCUUCGGGUUGUAAACCUCAGUAGUCAGGGACGAAGAAAUGACGGUACCUGAAGAGUAAGCUCCGGCUAACUACGUGCCAGCAGCCGCGGUAAUACGUAGGGAGCGAGCGUUGUCCGGAAUUACUGGGUGUAAAGGGUGCGUAGGCGGGACUGCAAGUCAGGCGUGAAAUACCGGGGCUCAACUCCGGGGCUGCGCUUGAAACUGUAGUUCUUGAGUGAAGUAGAGGCAGGCGGAAUUCCUAGUGUAGCGGUGAAAUGCGUAGAUAUUA
rnacentral:rRNA from 1 species